rnacentral:tmRNA from 2 species
GGGGGCGAAAUUGGUCUCGACAGGGAUAAUCUUGUUCAGGGGAAGCAUGCCGAGAUUGCUGGUGUCUCGUAAAAAAACCGGCAAAAAAGAAAAGACAACAAUUUCGCUUUAGCUGCAUAAUUUGCAGCAGGAUCUUUCAAGACCUGUCAGGGGUUUUGAAAAGAUCUUCAUAAUCCUGACUGCCGGUAUGGUAAGCCCGAGCCGUACCGUAAGAUUAGGGCAAAAAUCCUGAAAGGUUGCAUCCAGCCGAUCAGGAAUAACUUAUGGAUGCUAAGCAUGUAGAAGAACUGAACAUCUAUCUUUGGACGCGGGUUCGAUUCCCGCCGCCUCCAUUU